rnacentral:lncRNA from 1 species
AGAAUCUUUUAAAAGCCCUGCUGUCUGAGGACCUGCAUCACCCAGGAUUCCGUUUCAUUUCUCCAGCCACAAUCCCUGCCAGUGUUCUCUGCACUCUGGAUGAGAGACCUUAGGAAAGCAAAUCAGAUCGUAUCACUUCCCUUCUGAAAAUUCCAAAAGCUCCCCCCGCCCCCGCCGCACCGGCCUCUCUUUAUUGGCCCCCUGCACAGCCUCCAGCUCCUCGUACUGACCUCUUUGCAGUUCUCCAAACCGGCCAGGCUCGUGCUUUGCAGAGGCCUUUGCACAGGUGCACACACCCGCUGGGCCUGGAAGACCUUUCCCUUCCCGCUUCACGAAGGCCAGGUGGCCUCCCUGGGCUGAGCCCCUGUCUCAGCAUGUGGCGCACUGUGUUGAAAUGCUCCAGGACUUGAGUGCGUCUAUCACUGGGAUACACCUCCCAAUGGCAGAGGCAGUCUCGUCACCAAAUACUGUGGGUGCCGCUCUCUAUAUAACUGCUCGGUCAAUGUUUGCCCAGUGGUUGAAUGAAUGGAUGCGAGAAGCUGCUUAGUUCCCUUCUCUCCCUGGGGCUCCAGUCCUGCCACGGAGGGAGCAUUAGGAACAAGCACUCACAACUGUUCUUUGACAGGUCUUUGUGACUGAUUAAGCAGGUCCUUUAUCUCUAAUGUGCAUUUCCUUAUCGCUGUUCUACAUCUCCUGGCCUCCUCUUUAAACCAAAAGCUCCAUCCAGAGCCUCCAAAUGGAUGACUAUUCAGCAGGACCGCAAGAGGAGCGCUGUUGAGGGGAAAGAGUAGUGGGGGGGAUGGCGCUGAGACAGAGGGAGGAAGGGCAGAGGAACCCAACUUCUCAGCUGCCUCUUUUGUGCUCUGUCCUUUCCCUUCUAACUCCCUCCCCACUCUGUGCACCACCUAUUACUGUCCCUAUUGUAGAAGAUGUGGAAACGCGGGCCUCACGGGUUCAAUAGCCAACAGACACUCAGUUCCGCAGCCAUCAAGAGGAAGACCAGGUAAAAACAACAGCCACAGCUGAGCUCCACAGAUGACCUGGUGUAAGCCUCAGUCGCCUUAUGAGCCUCCUAGGGGAGGAGAGAGAAAACAGAAGCGGGAAAAGGCCAAUUGAGAGGGAGAAAGUUCUGGAGCAGGACUGCAAGGCGACCUUGGCUUCCUGGCCCCUGAUGGCUGUAUUUGCAGGUGCAUCACACACCCUUCUCAGCCUCUGCUCCCUGCACUGAACAUGCUGGAACUCCAACCACACCUCACCUGCCACCUUCCUACCAGACACUUCUAUUUGCCCUUCUCCCACUUUUGCCCAGGGGCCAGUUUCAGCUGCUCACUUUCCAAAGGAUCACUUGAGCAGCACCUCCAUCUACACAGACUGCAGAAGGCCCAACUGAAUGCAGGCUGGAUGCAGCCUGGGCUGCACCUUAGAAUCACCUGGGAAACUUUUACAAGCCACAGGUGUCUAGGCCCCGCCCCAGGCCCAUUAAGUCACAUUCCUUGGACUUGGGCUCUGGUAUAUUUAGGGGUGCAGGGGAGUGGUCUGGUAUAUUUUAAAAGCUUCCCUAGUGAUUAUUCUGCACAGAGGACUCAAAGCCACCCCAUUUCCGGAGACAGGUUCACAUGAAAAAGUUGAAUAGCAACAUUCGGCAUCAUCUACACACAUUAAGAUUCAGAUUCCUCGAGAGUCACACCUGGGCGCUGGCGACUCCCUCCUGAAGGCCACCCCGAGGGAGUCCAGGAGAAAGAGGAAGGAGACUCCAGAGGAGGAGAGGAUGGGAAGGAUGGAGAGCAGCCCCUCCCACCUCUUCCCAGUGGCUCCACCCCUCUUCCUCAAAGAGCAUGGGUGUUCCCUGCCCGCCUCCAAGAAGCUCCUGCUUUCACCACCGCGAGAAAUCCCUCCGUCUAGCGCAUCCAACUGGGAACUGCACUCCGGAGGACAAUGCUUGGCUCCCCUUGGCACGGGUAUUGUGCCUGUACCCCUGGGCCGGCCUUGAUGCACAGUGAACCUCUGUCUUGGGAGACCCACGCUCUCUUUCCUCCCCUCUCCUUGUGAUGAUGAAAGUGUGCCUUCAGGCCAAUGGUGGCUCGAGCCUGUAAUCCCAGCACUUUGAGAGGUAGAGGCAAGAGGAUCGCUUGAGCCCCGGAGUCCAAGACCAGCGCGGCCAACAUAGCGAGACCCCAUCUCUACAAAAAAAUUAAAAGUGUGCCUUUACCUCCUCCCAUGUGAAGAGCAGGUAAGGGGUAGACUUUUGGCCCCGUUUUAUAGAGAGAAACUGAGGCUCACAAGGAAAAACAAUCUGUGGACAGGGAUACACCAGGAAGUUCCAAGCUGAGGGUAAAUUACCCUAGAGAUCUGCAAAAGUUCAACUGAUGGCUGCCAUGGAGGAAGUGGGUCCAGAUGGGGAACAGGGCCAUCUCCGCCUUCAAAACAACCCCAAACAGGGCUUGGAAUAAGAUCGACCAUAGGCCAGGCUCGGUGGCUCACACCUGUAAUCCUAGCACUUUGGAAGUCCGAGGCAGGCAAAUCACAAGGUCAGGAGUUCGAGACCAGCUUGGCCAACAUGGUGAAACCCUGUCUCUAAAAAAAAAAAAAAAAAAAAAAAAUCGACCAAAGACCCCCCCUGAUAUUUCCCCAGCUUCUUGGCCAAGCAGGGGAUGAGGUCAGGGUCUGUCUCUGUGGGACGAAGAUUAAGGACUGGGGUCUGUGCAUGCCUGUGCGUAUGGCCCUUGCCACCCCCAUUCAACCAAGAACAUCAAUUUGCAUCUGAAACUGUUCUAUAGGUAUGCCAGAGCAGCCUCCUAGGCGGCAUCUCUUCACCCCCAGCGCAAAUGGUGAGAUUUGGGUGACUCCAUCCCCCAAACACAGAACCUGGCGAGGUCUGUGUUAAAAUGUAAAUUCAGGAGUCAUAAAUAUUUUUAAAGUUGUAAUACAAGAAACAGAUUGUCCGGGGGCCAAAAGGAUGACCUUUUACAUGCAAAUGAAAAUAAUGGAUCUUUAAACGCAGUUAUUGUCAGGAUGAUGAGCUGACUAAGACUGGAGGAAAAGAGGCCUCCUGGGUGGGCGCCAGCGUGGGAUAAAGAAAAGACAACCAGAGCAGAGAUGAAAAAGACCGAAAGGGGAUGCAAGCACCCAGGAGAGUGGACUGAGAAGUUCUAGGGGCAAGCCGGCGUGCAGAAAGAGGACCAGAUUCCUGGGGUCAGUAACUAAGGAUGACAAUGGAGGACCCCAAGGGGCCCUCUGGGACAAAAAUAGGACUGGGAUGCACUAUCUCAGAAACUGGAUGCAGGAGCUCAAGGAAAACACCUUAGCACCGGGGUUUCCAUGUCCCCAGCACUUCUCACGCUCAGUGUUUUAACUCUCAUUUCCAGACAAUGUAAUAACAUAGCGGGUACUGGGGGUGUGGUCCCUGUCCUCAUGACGUUUACAAA